ACGAUGUCAUGAUGCGCCCAUUCCUAUGGCCAUUCCUUUAAUACUUCUGGCUCUCGGGAGUCUCUUUGUAGGAUACUUGGCCAAAGUGUGACCUGUUAGCCCAUAAGUAAGUACUGUGACGAAGCGGCUGUUGCUCACCCGACACGAUCGUACGAGGUCACAAUUCACCCAACACGAUCAUCCGGGGUGAACAAGAAUUGGGGAUCGGAUGCGGGCGAAAUUCCCGCCAAUGGCUGAGAUGUUCAGUCGACUCCCUCCCCCUUUGUGGGGGUCCCGACCCCUACGAGUGAGCAGAAAAGGGAGGAGGAAAGAGGCCCUGGUGAACCGUCAUAAUUAGUGAACAAGUGUAAGCUUCGCUGCCCGACAGUAUGGAGUACUGACCACACCGAGGGACAGGCCCUGAAGCGAAGGACGGGAACGAGCGGAAUCAAUGUGUUCCAAUUUCUGGCCUUGCACCGACCAUCCAAUGGACCAUGGACUAAACGGCCACUGCCUGAAAGGACUAUGUCCAGGGGACCGCCGCCCCCCCCACAAGGUACAUCUCGCGCCUAUGGGCCGCUAUAACUAUCCAAGAAGACACUCGAAACUGGAAGGAUAAACAAACCCACCCGGUGGACUGCCGAGCUACAAGUCCUACGACACAGGAGCGGGAUUCUCUAAAAAGCCAAGGUCGUGGGUGGCCAAGAGGGCCCACUUGGAGACUUGGGAUCUCAGCAGGAAAUGCGAAGGUUGCAACAAGCCGGCCGGCCAAAGAGAAUCAACUAGUUUAGUUCUGAUCUGAGUAGGCUCAUAAUUAGGGAAUACCCUAACCCUGGGAACCGGGGCCUGGCCAUCCUUCGUUUGCGGUCGACGUUCCGGCUUUGUCCGUCGACAGCUGAAUGUUUCGAUCUGGUUCGAUUCAUGAUCGCAUCUGCAAACCUUAUCCCGUGGGCUUUAGCGGACGUUUUUCAUUCUUCACCCGGUCCUUAGUAGCCUUUCCAAAGUCAACCUAACCGCUUACCUUUGGAAAGGCGCUAAAUAGGCCUUCGCCCUUACGCCUUUAUAUAUAAUAGAAGAAAAUUAGAUAGUUGUAUAUAGAAUUAGCCAGAUCGUCUGAAGCAUGAACAGAAUCGCCUUUGUUCUGAAGGCCUAGCGAGUUCCUUUUUUUUUUUCAAAGGCGGCCCUUUUCUUUCCUCGGACCGAUGACUCGCUUGUUCAGUACUGCUAACUAUUAUAGGAGNNNNNNNNNNNNNNNNNNNNNNNNNNNNNNNNNNNNNNNNNNNNNNNNNNNNNNNNNNNNNNNNNNNGUAGGAUACUUGGCCAAAGUGUGACCUGUUAGCCCAUAAGUAAGUACUGUGACGAAGCGGCUGUUGCUCACCCGACACGAUCGUACGAGGUCACAAUUCACCCAACACGAUCAUCCGGGGUGAACAAGAAUUGGGGAUCGGAUGCGGGCGAAAUUCCCGCCAAUGGCUGAGAUGUUCAGUCGACUCCCUCCCCCUUUGUGGGGCUCCCGACCCCUACGAGUGAGCAGAAAAGGGAGGAGGAAAGAGGCCCUGGUGAACCGUCAUAAU
rnacentral:lncRNA from 1 species